rnacentral:rRNA from 1 species
AUUGAACGCUGGCGGCAGGCCUAACACAUGCAAGUCGAGCGAGCGGCGGACGGGUGAGUAAUGUAUGGGGACUGCCCGUUAGAGGGGGAUAACUACUGGAAACGGUAGCUAAUACCGCAUACUAUCGGAUAACCCAUAUGGGAUUAGCUAGUAGGUGAGGUAAUGGCUCACCUAGGCGACGCUCCCUAGCUGGUCUGAGAGGAUGCUCAGCCACACUGGGACUGAGACACGGCCCAGACUCCUACGGAGGCAGCAGUGGGGAAUAUUGCACAAUGGGCGAAAGCCUGAUGCAGCCAUUCCGCGGGUAUGAAGAAGGCCCUAGGGUUGUAAAGUACUUUCAGUCGGGAGGCGUUACCGACAGAAGAAGCACCGGCUAACUCCGUGCCAGCAGCCGCGGUAAUUC